CUGAGCUGUGAUUGUUCCUGAGCUGUGGGGACAGUGGCUGUUCUGGGCACUUCAGGAAGUACUUGCUCUAAGAGGCCCUUCCAGCUAUUGUCUUUGGGGCCAGGCCUGUUGGGCUGGCCCCGGGACAGGGUGCCCCCUCCAGGCCAAAGGUCUGCCUAGGGCUCAGGGGGCAGGAAGGUAAAACAGGGUCAGUACUCAACCAGGAAGGGGACUUGGGCUCAAGCUUCUCUUUUCUUUAGGCCAUUAGCGCCAGGAGCCAGGUGCCUCUGCACUUAUUUGUCUCCUCUGGCCGUGCACGUAUUGAUUAAAGAUAAGCCAGUCUCUCCGGGUGACAGGUGGCCCCGGACCAGCGAGAACUAGCUGGUGCCAUGGAAGGCACGUGGACUUUGGAGUGGAGGCCCGAGGCCUGAACGCUGGCUCUGCCCCUCCCUCUGCCCUGGGACACUUCUGAAUCUCCUCUUCCUCUUCCUCUGCCAGAGAAGAGAUAUAAUCACCGGCUUGAGAGGCCAUGAGGAUGAGCCGAAUAAGAUUGAUGAACCUGUCAGGCUGCUGGCCUGGGCGCUGAGCCCGCUCCCGCCUGAAUUCUCCCGACAGCUGCCCUGCUUCUCCACUUGGAUUUGCCGGGGCUCCCAUUGGAACCAAGAAAAGCCUCUGCUCUGCUCCAGUCACACACAAAAAAAUAGCAAGAAUGAUGCAAUAUGUGUUUCUCAUGGCCACCAGCCACGGAGAAGGUCCAGGCGUCCAGAUCCCUACCCCAAAUUCACGCCAGCAUUGCAAAUCAAUGCCCUCUUGUUCCCAUGAAUCCUGGGUAACUCCCACCACUCUACCCAGCAGCAGCUCUGUCACCCCCUUAUCUCGUGACAAAGGCCACCAACCUAGCCACUGAGGCACAAAAUUGGCCGGGUGCAGAGAAAGAGUUUCUAAGUACCUAAUCCCUGUAACCUGACCUUUAAUUCUAAUAACAGUGACAUUUAUUAAAGAUUAUGUGCCUGGCA